rnacentral:sRNA from 1 species
UGAUAUUUCCAGCAUUUCUGGACAUCAUCGCAUUGAUUGAAAAAUAUCAUCCCAGGACGAGUUUACAGUUGAUGCUGGGGAGAAUUUUUGUGUUGAACCUUUUAAACCUGUACACCUUGUUCAUAGCAUUAUAUAAUAAGCAACAGGAUUUGCUAGCUUCCAUUUCAGGGCUGCAGUCC